rnacentral:rRNA from 1 species
CCUGCUUUAACAAAAACAUGUCUUUUUGACUUAGAAAUCUGUAAAGUCUGACCUGCCCCCUGAUUAAAUUUGAAGGGCCGCGGUAUUUUGAUCCGUGCAAAGGUGAGCAUAAUCAUUAGUCUUUUAAUUGAAGGAUGGAAUGAAUGGUUUAACGCGGUAUUAACUGUCUCAUUAUAAUUUUUUGAACUUAACUUUUCAGUUAAGAAGGGUACAAAUGGAAUUAUUGGACGAGAAGACCCUAUAGAUCUUUAUAUCCCUAUUGUUAAAAUUAUUUCCGGGAUUUCUAAUUGUUUUAUGUAAUUUUGAAGUAAAUUUCAUUUGGUUGGGGUGACUUGCAAGAUUUAUAAAAGCUCUUUACGUGAUCAUAAACAUAGAUUUAUGGAAAAUUGAUCCAUUUAUAGUGACUUAAAAGACUAAGUUCCCUUAGG